rnacentral:rRNA from 1 species
CCUACGGGAGGCAGCAGUGGGGGAUAUUGCACAAUGGGGGGAACCCUGAUGCAGCGACGCCGCGUGGGUGAAGAAGCGCCUCGGCGCGUAAAGCCCUGUCAGCAGGGAAGAAAAUGACGGUACCUGAAGAAGAAGCCCCGGCUAACUACGUGCCAGCAGCCGCGGUAAUACGUAGGGGGCAAGCGUUAUCCGGAUGUACUGGGUGUAACGGGGGCGCAGACGGCGAUGCAAGCCAGGAGUGAAAGCCCGGGGCCCCACCCCGGGACUGCUCUUGGAACUGCGUGGCUGGAGUGCAGGAGGGGCAGGCGGAAUUCCUGGUGUAGCGGUGAAAUGCGUAGAUAUCAGGAGGAACACCGGUGGCGAAGGCGGCCUGCUGGACUGCAACUGACGUUGAGGCCCGAAAGCGUGGGGAGCAAACAGGAUUAGAUACCCUUGUAGUC